UCUGCCGCCCGCCCGGCCUUCGCGAGCUCUGAAGCUGCCGGCUCGCCAGAGACGCCAUGUACCGGCUCCUGGCAGCCGUGACAACCCGGGCCGCGACCCACGGGAGCUGCGCCUCGGGCUGCGGGCGGCGUGCAGCUCACCAGCGCGCCGGGCCGCCGCCGCUAGGCCCCGGCUGGGUCGGGGGCCUCGGGCUGGGUCUAGGGCUGGCGCUCGGGGUGAAGCUGGCCGGCGGGCUGAGGGGUGCGUCCCCCGCGCCGCCCACCGCGGCCCCAGACCCCGAGACGCCGCCUCAGGCCGAGCCGCCGCUGCCGCCGCAGGAGCAGCCCCUCGCCCAGUGGUCUCCGCAGACCCCGACGCCGCUGCACUCCAGGAGCUUUGCCAGAGCCAUCGACCGCAGCCGCGACCUCCUGCACAGGAUCAAGGAUGAGGUGGGCGCACCGGGCAUUGUGGUUGGAGUCUCUGUAGAUGGAAAAGAAGUCUGGUCAGAAGGUUUAGGUUAUGCUGAUGUUGAGAACCGUGUACCAUGCAAGCCAGAGACAGUUAUGAGAAUUGCCAGUAUCAGCAAAAGCCUCACCAUGGUUGCUAUUGCCAAAUUGUGGGAAGCAGGGAAACUGGAUCUUGAUAUUCCAGUACAGCAUUAUGUUCCUGAAUUCCCAGAAAAAGAAUAUGAAGGUGAAAAGGUUUCUGUCACAACAAGAUUAUUGAUUUCCCACUUAAGUGGAAUUCGUCAUUAUGAAAAGGACAUGAAAAAGGUGAAAGAAGAGAAAGCUUAUAAAGCCUUGAAGAUGAUGAAAGGGACGAUGGAAUCUGACCAAGAAAAAGAGUUAAAAGAAAAAGGAGGCAAAAGUAAUGAAAAGAAUGACUUUGCUAAAGCUAAGAUAGAGCAAGAUAAUGAAGCCAAAGGCCGAAAUUCAAAACCUUGCAAGAAAAAGAAUGAUUUUGAACAAGGCGAAUUAUAUUUGAAAGAAAAAUUUGAAAAUUCAAUUGAAUCCCUAAGAUUAUUUAAAAAUGACCCUUUGUUCUUUAAACCUGGUAGUCAGUUUUUGUAUUCAACUUUUGGCUAUACCCUAUUGGCAGCCAUAGUAGAAAGAGCUUCAGGAUAUAAAUAUUUGGACUAUAUGCAGAAAAUAUUCCAUGACUUGGAUAUGCUGACAACUGUGCAGGAAGAAAAUGAGCCAGUGAUUUACAAUAGAGCAAGAUUUUAUGUUUACAAUAAAAAGAGACGUCUUGUCAACACACCUUACGUGGAUAACUCCUAUAAAUGGGCUGGUGGUGGAUUUCUGUCUACAGUAGGUGACCUUCUGAAAUUUGGGAAUGCAAUGCUCUAUGGUUACCAAGUCGGGCUGUUUAAGAACUCAAAUGAAAAUCUUUUACCUGGAUAUCUCAAACCAGAAACAAUGCUUAUGAUUUGGACACCAGUGCCUAACACAGAGAUGUCAUGGGAUAAAGAGGCACAGACCACAGAGCGAACUGUUUGGAGCUGCCAAGGAGGUGACAUUUACAUUGGGAGAGGAGGAAAGAGCAUUGUCUGGGUUGUCCGGGAGAAGUGCAGCGUGACUGAACUGUCUGUGCGGGAAGAGCCACGAAGUGUGAAGAGCCCUGUGAAGUUAGUGAAUGUGCAUUAUGAGCAGGAGGUGGUGUCUGUUUCUACACUCCCUUGAACCUGAGGUGGCCUUUUGACUUGCUUUGACCCAGAGAACGUGGUGGAAAUGAUGUUGCACAAGUUCCAGCGCUUAGGCUUCAAGAGGCCAUCAAACUUCCAUCUUCACGCUCCAAGAACACUGCCCCCAAGACGGCCAUGUAAGGAAACCAGACUACCUUACUGGAUAACCCAGCUGACAGCCAGUACCAGACAUGUGACUGAAGCCAUCUUGGACCUUCCAGUCCAGUUGAGCCUCCAUGUAUGAGUGAGCCCAGAUUUUUCCAAGGUUCCUAAACUGUGCAAGCUGAGGUGGCUUGGAGCAUCAUGGGAGAAACAUUGAUACUUGACAUCUUUUGGAUACCAUGCAAACUUCUAGUUCCAGGUAAUUGUUACAUUAGCACCACAUUCCCUUUGAUGAUGUAUCUUUGUGAAGCUGGGUUUUGGGCCAUUGCUGUGAUAAAAAGCUAGUACCAUGCAAAAAUCAACGUGAAAAGAAUGAGGAUGGCAGUGUCCAACAUGAUCCCAAUUUUGAGAAACUGCAGUGCCCAAAAGGCACACUCAUUCCAUUAGUAGGUAAUUUAAGAAUAAGGUAAAAAUUAUCACUUUGCUUUUAAUUUAUGUGUUCUUCUUUUUCAAAUUGCUACUACAGUUGCUAGAACCUAACUACUUAAUAAAUUUAACUGUUAGGUAUUUCUUUUGGCCAGGGGACUCCAUGAAAAAAUUACUGAGACUAAAGAUGCCAUAAACCAAGAAAGUUUGGGAAGCUCUGAGUUAUUUAUUUCUCCAUAUAUUAAAUACGCUCCAAACUUUCCAUAGUUCUUCAGUUCUCACACAACAUUCCUCUGAUAUACCAAUCAGUAUGUUAAAGGAUCAGUCUCUCGGAUUGGGGGUGUAUAUGUCGGAACACCUCUUGAUAGGAAAUGAUUGUCUUCAGUGCCUGCCUUAAAGGUAACAGGUAGAAGAGAAGCAGUUAUCUUCCCAGUCUAAUGAGCAGUCAUAUAGGUGCUAGAGAGGGAAAGAUAUACUCUACCCCCUAACUCCCGAGCGUCACUUCAUAAACCAUAAAAGUGACAAUAAGACAACAGAACCACUCAACACAUUUUUCAGUUAGGAGUGCUCACCUGUCUGGACCAGAAAAUUCAAUACUAUCUACUGCCCCCUGCCAGAACAUCCCGGGUAAAUCAUGCUACUCCUGAUUCCUCCUCUCAAAUUUUCUACCCCCAAAAGAGCUUUCUACAACUCAGAGCCCAGCUGCAGUUACUGUACUGAAGUAUACAGUAUGUUAUGGGCAUAUAAAUCCAAGGCAUUACACUGUGAUUGUUACUGCAUUAAAUAUGUACUUCUAUAAAUGUUUCCAUAGUUAUAAUACCAAAACUAUAAUUAGAAUUAUAAAUAAUGAACUUCUUUCCAUUUGUAAUCAUUUAGCCCCCUCACAGAAAUAUGGAAAAGGACUGAAAAUCAAAUAUUUAAAGUUUCUACUCCUGAAGCAAGAC